CAGUGUUGGAGUGGGGAGCUGAGGCUUUGGUGAGAAGAGGUGAAGGUUAUAACUCAAAGCAAUAAGGAAGAUAAAACUAUCCUUUUGAGCUUCAGGAGUUUUCUUUCAACCAACAACCAAGGAGAGAGGGAGUUUGCCAGUUUUAUUGAGACCUACUCAUCAAAGAAAAUGUUGGAGAGCUGCUCUUCCUACUGCCUGUGGAGACAAAGUAAUGAAGAGAAAUGAUCGGUUAGCCAGUUAUACCUGGGGAGUAAGCCUAAUCUAAUAAAGAGAGACUCAUCCAUCCUAAGCCUUAUGUUGGCCAGAAGCAGUAAGGCUUAUGAGAAGAACAUUUAAUAGCCUGCUGAGAGUGAUAAUUUGGCCUAUUUGUUUAGUUUUCUAUUCAAGAAAAGUUUUAUGGUUAUCUAAAUCAAGAUAAUAUGGUAGUUUUUUAGUCAUUGUUAUUGAUGGUUCUAUUUAAUUAACUGAUUUUUAAAUCCCCACCUAACAUGAUAUGAACAUUUGAUCUGUAUUAUUAGUCCAACCUCUGGAUUACCAGUAUAGUAUAUAUUCACACUUCAACUAUAACCCUGGUAAUAAUAUGAUUGUAUAAUUAGAUAUUGGCCUCAGUUGAUACACACCUGAACACUAUCUCCCUGAACCACUGGGAGGA